rnacentral:rRNA from 1 species
AGAGUACGAGAUGCUACGGCAUCGAAGCAGUCUAUGUCAUACUUCCAAGAAAAGCUUGCACUGUCAUAAACAAAGAAUGCCUGUACCAUAACCGACACAGGUGGGUAGGUAGAGUAUACUAAGGGGCGCGAGAUAACUCUCUCUAAGGAACUCGGCAAAAUGACUCCGUAACUUCGGGAGAAGGAGUGCCUUAUUUCUAAGGUUGCAAUAACAAGAUCCAAGCAACUGUUUACCAAAAACACAGGUCUCCGCUAAGUCGUAAGACGAUGUAUGGGGGCUGACGCCUGCCCAGUGCCAGAAGGUUAAAGAAGUUGGUUAGCAUUAGCGAAGCUGAUAACUGAAGCCCUGGUGAACGGCGGCCGUAACAAUAACGGUCCUAAGGUAGCGAAAUUCCUUGUCGGGUAAGUUCCGACCCGCACGAAAGGCGUAAUGAUUUGGAUACUGUCUCGGAGAGGGGCUCGGUGAAAUAGACUUGUCUGUGAAGAUGCGGACUACCUGCACCUGGACAGAAAGACCCUAUGAAGCUUUACUGUAACUUGAGAUUGAAAUUGGACUUUAUUUGCGCAGUAUAGGUGGGAGGCGUUGAGAAUAAUCUUGCGGGAUUGUUGGAGCCAUCAGUGAGAUACCACUCUUGUAAUGUUAGAUUUCUAACUUUGUAUCAUUAUCUGGUCAAAGAACAGUUUCAGGCGGGCAGUUUGACUGGGGCGGUCGCCUCCCAAAGGGUAACGGAGGCGCACAAAGGUUUCCUCUGAACGGGUAGAAAUCGUAUCUAGAGUGUAAAGGCAUAAGGAAGCUUGACUGUGAGACCUACAAGUCGAGCAGGGACGAAAGUCGGUCUUAGUGAUCUGACGGUGCUGAGUGGAAAGGCCGUCACUCAACGGAUAAAAGUUACUCUAAGGAUAACAGGCUGAUCUCCCCCAAGAGUUCACAUCGACGGGGAGGUUUGGCACCUCGAUGUCGGCUCAUCGCAUCCUGGGGCGGUAGUCCGUCCCAAGGGUUGGGCUGUUCGCCCAUGAAAGCGGUACGCGAGCUGGGUUCAGAACGUCGUGAGACAGUUCGGUCCAUAUCCGGUGUAGGCGUUAGAAUAUUGAGAGGAGCCUUCUCUAGUACGAGAGGACCGAGAAGGACAUACCUCUGGUGUACCAGUUAUCGUGCCAACGGUAAACGCUGGGUAGCUAUGUAUGGAGUGGAUAACCGCUGAAAGCAUCUAAGUGGGAAGCCCACCUCAAGAUAAG